rnacentral:rRNA from 1 species
AGUGAACGCUGGCGGUAGGCCUAACACAUGCAAGUCGAACGGCAGCACAGUAAGAGCUUGCUCUUACGGGUGGCGAGUGGCGGACGGGUGAGGAAUACAUCGGAAUCUACUUUUUCGUGGGGGAUAACGUAGGGAAACUUACGCUAAUACCGCAUACGACCUACGGGUGAAAGCAGGGGAUCUUCGGACCUUGCGCGAUUGAAUGAGCCGAUGUCGGAUUAGCUAGUUGGCGGGGUAAAGGCCCACCAAGGCGACGAUCCGUAGCUGGUCUGAGAGGAUGAUCAGCCACACUGGAACUGAGACACGGUCCAGACUCCUACGGGAGGCAGCAGUGGGGAAUAUUGGACAGUGGGCGCAAGCCUGAUCCAGCCACACCGCGUGGGUGAAGAAGGCCUUCGGGUUGUAAAGCCCUUUUGUUGGGAAAGAAAAGCAGCAGGUUAAUACCCCGCUGUUCUGACGGUACCCAAAGAAUAAGCACCGGCUAACUUCGU